CUGUCUUAAGCUUUUGCGUUUUGGAUUGUUGGUUUUGCACUUGAUAAAUGUGUUGCUGGUACAUAAUGAUGAUGAUGCGAAGACUGUAUGCGAUAUUAUAAAUGUCUUUGCCAACAGUAGAUGUUAGCAGCUCUCAGGAUUUCAAAUUUUAGGAUCACUCAACCAAAGCACCCUGAAGAAUCCUCCAACUUGUAUCUUCAAAAGUAUAUGGCAGAUGCAAAGGCAACAAAGGAAACUGUAAUGGUCUAAGGUCUGAUGCUAGCUACUUCAGCCACAUGCAAGAUUACUCAACAAAGUAUAUACCAUAUGGUUGCCUCCUAGGUUGAUGAAAGAAGAUAUAUUUUCUUAACAGUCAUGAGGUCAUGUAUCUAGAACAAGCAUUGAAAAUCAUGACCAACUUAUCCAGGAAAACUAUUAGUAGAAAAUUUACUUACCAAGAUUACUGCUUUGAUGUUGUCAGUAGUUAGGUUAAACUCAAGUCCACAGUUAUCCUUGUGAAAUUUUAAGAGUACUUCUAUCAGGUGUUCCUGUGCUUCCCUCUCACCACCUUGUGAUGUUGCCUUUUCUGUGUGUUCUUUUAUGAUGUUUUCCAGUAUCCUAUCAGUUUUCUUUUGCAACCUUUGGAGUUUAGGCCUCAUCCCAGUUAUCAUAUGCAGCAGACUGUAAGAAGGAAAGACAUCUGCAAGAUCAAAGCCUCCUGCCAGUUGUAUACCUUCUUUCACAGCAUCUAUAAACUCUUCAUGAUAUUUACUCUUUUUACCGAAGGCAGCUCGUGUAGUGAUUGUAUAUGUAGAUAAGUAAAUUUUUUCUGUAAGAUUGAUAGGUGAUCUGGCUUUGGAAGCAAUCCAUUUGAUGAGAUUCAGCAUCUCUUCCUCUCUAAUAGGUCGAUAAGAUUGAAC
rnacentral:lncRNA from 1 species